rnacentral:rRNA from 1 species
CCUACGGGCGGCAGCAGUGGGGGAUAUUGCACAAUGGGGGGAACCCUGAUGCAGCGACGCCGCGUGGGUGAAGGAGUGCUUCGGCAUGUAAAGCCCUAUCGGCAGGGAAGAAGUAAGACGGUACCUGACUAAGAAGCCCCGGCUAACUACGUGCCAGCAGCCGCGGUAAUACGUAGGGGGCGAGCGUUAUCCGGAUUCACUGGGUGUAAAGGGAGCGUAGACGGCCAUGCAAGCCAGGGGUGAAAGCCCGGGGCCCAACCCCGGGACUGCCCUUGGAACUGUGCGGCUAGAGUGCGGGAGGGGCAGGCGGAAGUCCUGGUGUAGCGGUGAAAUGCGUAGAUAUCAGGAGGAACACCGGCGGCGAAGGCGGCCUGCUGGACUGCGACUGACGUUGAGGCUCGAAAGCGUGGGGAGCGAACAGGAUUAGAUACCCCAGUAGUC